AAUGGAAAGGACUUGACUGGCACCAGCAGGUGUUUGAAGGAGAUGCAGUCUGAUUCUCUUGCUGAGGUUGAUUAAAGAGACAGAAAGGAAGAAGGGGGUGGGGAGAGCAGCGAGGAAGGAAAUACAUCCCUUCAAAAGGCAUUUCUCGCUUGUUCAACAAGCUCUCUCUGCACAGGUUUCUGGAGCAUUAGCAAAAGACAUAAUGCACAAAAGCAGUGGUAAGACCCAAGAACGUCCAGAUGGAAAUGAAUUUAUUAAUCCAUCUUCUGCAAAGCAGUGUCCUGAUUCAGUGCCACUAGUGAAGAGUGGAAAUGUGUCAGUGGUUCUGCAGUGGUCAUCUAAGAAAGGGAUCCAUCCUUUGAAUGAAAGCUGCCAGCAGGAUUUUCUCACAGCUUGCGAUGCUAGCAAAUUUGGGAAGUGUUCUAAAAAUGGCUCUUCCCCUUGCUCUAUCCGGAAGAGUGGUUCUGAUGUUUGGGGAGACCAUGAACCCAGAUGACAUGACAAGCCAAGAUUUGUGGGUUGUUGCUCCCAAAGCAGCAUGGCCAAGAGCAUGGAAGAAUGGAGACUUUUGAGCAUAGAACUCUUUUGCAUAGAACUAUCGGUUAACAUGUGCAGCCAUAGCCAAUGUGCGAUACGGAACUGGAAAGAUGUAAAUAAAACACUGGAAGCAAAAGUGGAUGAGUAGGCCUAAAGGCCUAAAAUGGGCUGAAAUACAACCAGAAUGCUUCUUGCACCACCUGGAGAACCAAAUGCCCACCACAUAUAGCGGGACUGUAUGACUAGCAGAGCACCAAAUGAAGAGUCUUUUAGAAAGAGGUACCUGUGCAAACCCUGCAAAGCUUAACAGAGCAACAAAAGUAACUAAAUUGAUUUCUGGGUGGCUGAGCUGACUCAAGAUCCCGCUAUGUUGUGCUGGAAAAGCUUCAAAAGAGCUAUGGGAGGGGGGGAAUUGACUUUCUCCUGCAAUUCAAAGUUCCAUGAGGAGCAGUGAGUACAGUCAGGUUCUGAAUUUGCCAGAAUGGUAGGAAUGAGAAACUGGGACAGGAAGGUUGAGGAAAGCAGGACCAGCAGAAGAAUUCAACCAAGUACAUUGGCGUUUACUCCAAGUAUGGCAAAGAGAAGCAAAAUUUUGCAUGAGGUGUCUUUGCCAGCUAAACAGUCAAUUGGGAAAAGUUUCUCUCAGCCAACUUGACAAGCGACUAGAUGGGACCUGCGGGUCAGCACCACAUGCAGUGUGAAGGAUAGCCUGGAAUUGACACACUCCGGGGUUUUUAUUGAGAGAUCCCAGUGGAUGCAAACUCAAGAGUUGAUUCAGUGCUGUUGUGAAAUCUCCAUACCUCACCUGGACUCUCAUUUUCAUGUUCCUAACCGUGGCAAGUUCUAUUGCAAUCGUAUGUUGGUCAAUGAUGACCCCGCCUUUUUGACUUUGCUGGAGAAGCAUAUUGGAUUUGUAGAUCAUCCUUAGAGUCUUCAGUGUUUUUAACAAUAAGAACGCCCUUCCCCACAUGUGUAUAUAUAUCCUUUCGUAGCUCACAGCCGUUUUUGUUUUCAAUUACACGUGCUGAUGUUCAUCGCCUCCAUCAUUUUUUGUAAUUUAAAUAAUGUACAGCUCUGUAUAUUCUGACUUUCUCUGCAAACAGCGGGAAGAAAUGCUGUACGCAUGGUCAUGUGUUUGUAAGUGCAUGUGUUGGAAUAGGAAGUAUACCAGUCUGUACUUAGAAGAGACAAACUCAGUACUAGUACUGACACUGAAAUUAUAGACACACACACACACACACACACACACACACUUUUUGGUUUAUUUUGAAAGUUAGAAAAUACAUAUUUUAUCUGGUGAUAAUUAUAUUUUGUAUAUAUUUUACAGGUUUCACAGGUCUAAUCUAGUAUUUGAUAUACAGAAACUGACAAUAGGCUUUUUGUUUUUGUUUUUGUAAAUGGAUAGCAGUGAUUAGGCAUUUGCACAAUAUUUACCAGAGGCAGAAUAGCUCAUUGGAUCGAUUCCUCAUUCAUGGUUGAUGCUCCUUUUUUCCUGCUUCACUUCUCUAAACAUUGCAGUGCUAGGUCAAAAUCAGCUGGACCUAUUUUUCUGAAUUAAAUGAACUGCUGCUCGUAACUGCAUUAGCCUACAUACCUAAAAAUGGUCAACUUUCAUAAAGCGCUUACACCUGC